UGGGGAAUAUUGGACAAUGGGCGGAAGCCUGAUCCAGCAACGCCGCGUGAGGGAUGACGGCCUUCGGGUUGUAAACCUCUUUCAGUACCGACGAAGCGAAAGUGACGGUAGGUACAGAAGAAGGACCGGCCAACUACGUGCCAGCAGCCGCGGUAAAUACGUAGGGUCCGAGCGUUGUCCGGAAUUAUUGGGCGUAAAGGGCUCGUAGGCGGUUUGUCGCGUCGGGAGUGAAAACAGCGGGCUUAACUCGUUGCUUGCUUUCGAUACGGGCAGACUAGAGGUAUGCAGGGGAAGAAUGGAAUUCCUGGUGUAGCGUGGAAAUGCGCAGAAUAUCAGGAGGAACACCGGUGGCGAAGGCGGUUCUCUGGGCAUUACCUGACGCUGAGGAGCGAAAGUGUGGGGAGCGAACAGGAUUAGAU
rnacentral:rRNA from 1 species